rnacentral:rRNA from 1 species
UACGGAGGGUGCAAGCGUUAUCCGGAUUCACUGGGUUUAAAGGGUGCGUAGGCUGGCAGGUAAGUCCGUGGUGAAAUCUCUGAGCUUAACUCAGAAACUGCCAUGGAUACUAUUUGUCUUGAAUAUUGUGGAGGUAAGCGGAAUAUGUCAUGUAGCGGUGAAAUGCUUAGAUAUGACAUAGAACACCAAUUGCGAAGGCAGCUUACUACACAGUUAUUGACGCUGAGGCACGAAAGCGUGGGGAUCAAACAGG